UACGUAGGGGGGCUAGCGUUGUCCGGAAUCAUUGGGCGUAAAGCGCGUGUAGGCGGCCCGGUAAGUCCGCUGUGAAAGUCGGGGGCUCAACCCUCGGAUGCCGGUGGAUACUGUCGGGCUCGAGUACGGAAGAGGCGAGUGGAAUUCCUGGUGUAGCGGUGAAAUGCGCAGGAUAUCAGGAGGAACACCAAUUGCGAAGGCAGCUCGCUGGGACGUUACUGACGCUGAGACGCGAAAGCGUGGGGAGCAAACAGG
rnacentral:rRNA from 1 species